ensembl:snoRNA U3 Small nucleolar RNA U3
AAGACUAUACUUUCAGGGAUCAUUUCUAUAGUUCGUUCUUACAUUUUCCAAAGCUUGUUUUUUGACCUAAAGUCAUCUAUUGUGUAGA